UUUCAAAAUAUUGUGUCUACAGGA
rnacentral:siRNA from 1 species